rnacentral:rRNA from 1 species
GACGAACGCUGGCGGCGUGCUUAACACAUGCAAGUCGAACGAUGAAGCCGGAGCUUGCUCUGGUGAAUUAGUGGCGAACGGGUGAGUAACACGUGAGUAACCUGCCCUUGACUCUGGGAUAACUGCGGGAAACUGUAGCUAAUACCGGAUACGACCCUCGGAGGCAUCUCCAGGGGGUGGAAAGAAUUUCGGUCAAGGAUGGACUCGCGGCCUAUCAGCUAGUUGGUGAGGUAAAGGCUCACCAAGGCGACGACGGGUAGCCGGCCUGAGAGGGUGACCGGCCACACUGGGACUGAGACACGGCCCAGAUUCCUACGGGAGGCAGCAGUGGGGAAUAUUGCACAAUGGGCGCAAGCCUGAUGCAGCAACGCCGCGUGAGGGAUGACGGCCUUCGGGUUGUAAACCUCUUUUAGCAGGGAAGAAGCGAAAGUGACGGUACCUGCAGAAAAAGCACCGGCUAACUACGUGCCAGCAGCCGCGGUAA